rnacentral:lncRNA from 10 species
UAGCGAUGUGCAUAUUUCAACGGGAGAAGGUGGCUAGGUUAGAGACCCACGGUCGGCACGAGGAACGCCACAGUGUGGUAUAUUUGGGCUGGGAAAGGCUCCCGUGCAAAGAAUUUUAACACAUUCUUCUCUGGGCGGCCGAGGAGGCCACGCUAACCUGACAGCUCUGGAGCAAACGGUUAGAGAAAAUGGAUCGCUUUCCUCGGCCCAGGAUCCCCCACAGCCCCACCCCGUCCCGGCCCGGGGCGGCGUGUCCCUCGAUGAAAAAAACUGAGCUCCAGAGAACUUAAGUAACUUGUACAAGGACAUAAGAAAAUAAUAAUCUGAAACUUGGAAAUAAGCAAAAGAAGAAUGACUGCCGGCAUCUCUUUUUAGUAUCAUCAGAAGCUCUACCUAACAGGCCAUCCUACUUCCAAGGAUUAUUUAAAUCUCUAGGGAGAGUACCUUUGAUUAAUUAUUUCUUAUGAUUAGGGCCUAUAUUCUGUGAAAAUACAGAGUCCAAGUUUUAACUUUGUAGAUUAUUAAAUUAUAAAUUGUAUUUCUCCCAUAGAGAUGCAAAUUAUUUCUUUCUAUUAUAAAAGAUAAUCCCAAAGGUCAUAAUUUUAUCGACCAGUAAGACAUUACCCAGUUUUAUAUCUAACAAGCUCAUUUCAACUUUUUUUUUCUGAUAGGAUAAAUAAAUAC